rnacentral:rRNA from 1 species
AUUGAACACUGGCGGCAGGCCUAACACAUGCAAGUCGAGCGAGCGGCGGACGGGUGAGUAAUGUAUGGGGACUGCCCGAUAGAGGGGGCUAACUACUGGACACGGUGGCUACUACCUCGUACUGUCGGAUAACCCAUAUGGGAUUAGCUAGUAGGUAAGGUAAUGGCUUACCUAGUCGACGAUCCCUAACUGGUCUGAGAGGAUGAUCAGCAACAUUGGGACGACGACACGGUCCAGCCUCCUACGGAGGAAGAAGGGGGGAAUAUUGCAAAAUGGGCGCAAGCCUGAUGCAGCCAUGCCGGGGGUAUGAAGAAGGCCCUAGGGUUGUAAAGUACUUUCAGUCGGGAGGCGUUACCGACAGAAGAAGCACCGGCUAACUCCGUGCCAGCAGCCGCGGUAAUUC